CCUUCGAUAGCUCAGUUGGAAGAGCGUGGGACUGUAAUUGGUUCAAACUCCGCUAAAAAAUCCCGAGGUCACUGGUUCGAUCCCGGUUCGAAGGA
rfam:Stereum hirsutum FP-91666 SS1 unplaced genomic scaffold STEHIscaffold_5, whole genome shotgun sequence.